CAAGCUCAAACUACCACUGGCCACCUU
rnacentral:piRNA from 1 species